rnacentral:rRNA from 1 species
GUCAAUUACGUGCCAGCCGCCGCGGGAAUACGGAGGUGGCAAGCGUUGGCCGGAUUUAUUGGGCGUAAAGCGAGCGCAUGCGGUUCCUUAAGGCUGAUGUGAAAGCCCACGGCUCAACCGUGGAAGGUCAUUGGAAACUGGGGAACGUGAGUGCAGAAGAGGAGAGUGGAAUUCCAUGUGUAGCGGUGAAAUGCGUAGAUAUAUGGAGGAACACCAGUGGCGAAGGCGACUCUCUGGUCUGUAACUGACGCUGAGGCUCGAAAGCGUGGGGAGCAAACAGGAUUAGAUACCCGGGUAGUC